UUUAAUUUAAUUAGAAUUUUAUUUUUAAGUAAGAAAGCUUAAAUAGUAUUAAAAGACGAGAAGACCCUGUAGAGUUUUAUAAUUAAUUAAUUGUUAGUUUUGAAGUAUAAUUUUAUUAAUAAUUAAUUAAUUAUUUUAUUGGGGCGAUAGGAAAAUAUAGUUAACUUUUUUUAAAAAUUUAAACAUUAAUUUAUGAUUUUAUGAUCCAUUAUUUAUGAUUAGAAGGUUAAGUUACCUCAGGGAUAACAGCGUAAUUUUUUUUUAGAGUUCUUAUCGAAAAAGAAGGUUGCGACCUCGAUGUUGGAUUAAAAUUAAUGCUUGGUGUAGGGGCUAAGUAAUUAGGUCUGUUCGACCUUUAAAAUUUUACA
rnacentral:rRNA from 1 species